rnacentral:rRNA from 1 species
GACGAACGCUGGCGGCGUGCUUAACACAUGCAAGUCGAACGGAAAGGCCCUGCUUUUGUGGGGUGCUCGAGUGGCGAACGGGUGAGUAACACGUGAGUAACCUGCCCUUGACUUUGGGAUAACUUCAGGAAACUGGGUCUAAUACCGGAUAUGAGCUCCUGCUGCAUGGUGGGGGUUGGAAAGUUUCGGCGGUUGGGGAUGGACUCGCGGCUUAUCAGCUUGUUGGUGGGGUAGUGGCUUACCAAGGCUUUGACGGGUAGCCGGCCUGAGAGGGUGACCGGCCACAUUGGGACUGAGAUAGGGCCCAGACUCCUACGGGAGGCAGCAGUGGGGAAUAUAGCACAAUGGGCGGAAGCCUGAUGCAGCAACGCCGCGUGCGGGAUGACGGCCUUAGGGUUGUAAACCGCUUUCGCCUGUGACGAAGAGUGAGUGACGGUAAUGGGUAAAGAAGCACCGGCUAACUACGUG